rnacentral:tRNA from 24 species
GCCGAAUUAGUUUAGUGGCAAAACAGAUGCAUGGUAAGCAUCAAAGACAAGUUCGAUUCUCGUAUUCGGCACCA